GUAAGUGUUUUUAGGAUGACUUUUUAUAAUUUGUUUUAUUCACAUAUAUUUUAAAUACAUUUAAAAUUAUAUUAUUUUCAAUAAUUAUAAUUUUAUAAUAAACAUCUGGUAGUAAAUAUAAUACUAGACAUUAAACAGAAGAUUAUGCCUAUUUCACUUUCUUCUCCUUGAAAUGUUUUAUUUCCUUUGGAGGAACACUCAUCCUGCAUGUCACAGGUGGUCAAACCAGAGCAACUUCAUCUCUUCAUCUUGAAUAGGAGCUGGAUAAAAGGAGGAUGGGACCUGCUGCACUGCAUUCCCAGGAGGUUAGGCAUUCUUAGUCAAAAGAGGGGAUAGGAGGUCACAAGAUACAGAUCACAAAAAAUCUGCUGAUAAAACAGGAUGCAAUAAAGAAGCCAACCAAACCCAUCAAAUGCAAGAUGGUGAUGAAAGUGACCUCUGGUUGUCCUCACUGCCCGUUAUAAUGCGUUAGCAUGCUAAAAGACACUCCCACCAGUGCAAAGGCAGGUUACAAAUGCCAUGACAAUGUCCAGAAGUUACCUUAUGUGGUCUAAAGGAAGAGAAACCUUCAGUUUCAGGAAAUCCCCACCCUUUUCCCAGAAAACUCAUGAAUAAUCCACCUCUUGAAUUAUUGGCAGAAUAUGGUCAAUAAAUAAACCAUAAAACUAGCCAAUCAGCAGCCCUAGGGCUGCUCUGUCUAUGGAGUAGCCAUUCUUUUAUUUCCUUACUUUCUCUUUUUUUUUUUUUUUUUUUAAUACAGAGUCUUGCUCUGUUGCCCAGGCUGGAGUGUAGUGGCGUGAUAUCGGCUUGCUGCAACCUCUGCCUCCCAGGUUCUAGUGAUUCUCCUGCUUCAACCUCCUGAGUAGCUGAAAUUACAGAGGACUGUCACUAUGCCUGGCUAAUUUUUGUAUUUUUAGUAGACAUAGGGUUUUACCAUGUUGGCCACGCUGGUCUCGAACUCCUAACCUCAAGUGAUCUAUCCACCUCGGCAUCCUAAAGUACUGAGAAUACAGACAUGAGCCACUGCACCUGGCCAUUAUUCCUUUACUUUCUUAAUAAUCUUGCUUUCACUUUACUCUGUGGACUCACCCUGAAUUCUUCCUUGCAUGUCAUCCAAGAACCCUCUCUUGGGGUCUGGAUUGGGACCCCUUUCUGGUAACAUGAGGGCCUUCCAAAUGCUUGAAGGAAAAAAUUCCAGAGUGAGUAUAAAUGAAUUGUGAAAAGAAGCUAUACUUUAUCUUAGGGCCUACCCUGUUCUAGCAGCUCUAGAAUUAUGCUGCAUAGGACAGCCCUAAAACUCGGCACCCAGAGUCGCCCGACAUUAUCACCGGGCUUUCUCUGUCCUGAGAGUUUGCACAGACUCACCUUUGUUCUCCCAGUGAAAUAAAUUAUGUGCUCCAAAAUAGAGGGAUGUGCCUACCUAGAAGUUUGCAUUAUAUAUAGGCAAAAUAAUGAAUGGGCUCUGGAGUCAGACACUCUGAAUUGGAAUCUCAGUUUCACUGCAUAAUGGCUGAGUAACCUUGGAAAAGCCACUUAGUCAUCUCUGGGAUUCAAAUUCUUUAUCUAUAAAAGGAAAGAGUAAAACCUAUAUCAUACAAUUUCCUUGAGGAUUAAAUUACGUGUUCGUAAAGCCCGUAAGGGAGGUCAUCUCUGAGUUCUGGUUACUCUUACUUUCCCACCUUUUCACUCAGUGAAGCGGCAAGAAGACCAUGGAUAGGAAAAGGUGCUACAAUGGCAGAGUUUUAAACAAUGUAGGGUGGAGGAAGUAUAUGCAGCACGCAAACUUAAGUAGAGAAGAGGGGGUAUAUAAGAGCAAGUGUCUUUAAAAGUGCAAGUUGUGACUGAUGGAUACCCAGGCAGUACAGAAUCUAUUCCUGCAAGAUACCCGCCCCCCACCCACUGAGAGGGAGCUUUCCAGAAGUACAAAGCUCUCAUGAUAGGAGACAGGGGGCCCAGCUUUGCUACCUGACCUACUUAGCCAUAUGAGCUGGUAAAUGUGCCUGGGAUUUCAAGCCAAUUUUCCUCUCUUCAAAAUGGGGAUGUCAUCUACUUUGUCUCAAAAAGUUGUCAUGAGACUCAAAAAUUCUUUACAAAGUGGAAAAUGCUACUUAACCAUUUGUUAGGACUCCGGUUUGCAAGUAAGUGACAGAAACCCAGAUCAGAUAAGCAUAAGCAAAAAGGGAAAUUUCUCACAGAGUCAAGUACAGGAACAAAGCUGGGGUCCAGGAACUCCUGGUAAGGUGGCUAACUCAGCCCCUGGUACGGUGGCUAACUCGCUCAUUCCUGGCAUUAGCACUAAAAGUGCAGGGUCCUGGAAAACCCCUCAGCGCAGGCCAACAGAGAAAGUUGGCCACCAUCCCUGGCUUCUGUGACCCUGUGAGUGUCUGAUUCAUUCCUCUCCCCCUGCUGACCCGCUUCCUCCAUUUUCUCUGUCCAUAUGGUUAGAACCACAGUCAAGGACAGGUUCUAAUAUCUAAUUUUGUUACGGCAUGGGCGAUUUCAUGUUUUAUUGCCCACGACACAACUAUAGUUUAGAAUAAUCCCAUUUUUAAAAGUCUCAUAUUUUGCUGUUAGGAAAUCAUCAAAGUUAUAAGCCUGAUGUCUGUAUUUUUAUAAAAGAAGUGUAAUUUAGGAACCAUUAUAGGGAAUGAGUUCAGCGAACUCCUCAGAUCACUUAUUUUCCAAUGGAACCACUUAAACAUACCCCAUUAUCUCUGAGAAAUCAUGAGAUGCAGGGAGGGGCCUUGUUUUUAAGGUAGUUUGGGUAUUGUCUGCUACCUGGCUUAACAGGAAGUUCUAUGAGAGACUCAGGAACUAUAUGACUCCAUGUGGCUAUUUUGCUUACUGUGUUAACCCCAGCACUCAAAACCAGCUGGCCAGGUGGAUGAACAAACAAGUAAAUGAAAAUGAAAACAUGAGAAAGCUAAAUGUUGAGAUGUGUGCUACAUUCCCUGUAGGUCAGAAACUCAGAGAAGGAAGGGAAGUGUGAGGUGUACUGUACUGGGUGAAGACUCACAGGGGUCGAGAACAGCUAUAGCAUGGGAAGGGGAGGCUCAUUUUUCGUCUUCCUCACUCAGUUUCUGACUCAUUGUACUAUAAGACAGAGCAUAAAGUCCAGUGUAUGUAGAUAAGGGAAUUGGCUUUCACCAGACGGUAGUCCACUAGCAUACCCCUCCCCUGUGUUUUGGAAUUCACACUCCCCAAGGAUAUGGAACAAUGGCAAGGGAGUCAGGGCUGGGCCUGCUAGGGCUGUUCUCUUCUUGACCACCUCCAAGUUUCUUCUAUUUGAAUGUGUUCUUUUGAAAACAAAGAUGUAGAUUUUAUGAAUGUUUUCCCCAGUUUGCGAUUAAACUUAAUGAAAAACAACAGGCCGGGCGCCAUGGCUCACGCCUGUAGUCCCAACACUUUGGGAGGCGGAGGCGGGCGGAUCAUCUGAGGUCAGGAGACCGAGACGAUCCUGGCUAACACGUGAAACCCCGUCUCUACUAAAAUUACAAAAAAAAAUUAGCCGGGCGUGGUAGUGGUAGCGGGCGCCUGUAGUUCCAGCUACUCGGGAGGCUGAGGCAGGAAAAUGGCACGAACCCGGGAGGCGCAGCUUGCAGUGAGCCGAGAUUGCGCCACUGCACUCCAGCCCGGGCCGACAGAGCGAGAUUCCGUCUCAAAAAAAAGAAAAAAAACCAACAACAACCAGGCUGAACCUCAUUUUCAUUUGCUUUCCUAACUCUUUGCCUAUUUCCUUGCGGAUUCUCCUUCUUUAGCCACCCGGCUCUACCUCGUCUCACACACAGAUUUCUACCCGAUCCUUCCACUCUGGCAGUCAGCAAUGGGCUUUAAUUGACACAUCAUUAAAAAAUACUCAGGCACCAUCUGAACUGGAAUAAGAAUAAAUUCCAGGCAAAGGGCUCAAGCCAGCCUUCCAGAUUUCAGUGUCAGAGAGCCGUCUCAGAGGAGGCAAAGUCAUUUUUUCUGUCGUCUUUCUCCAGCAUUGCAGCUAUUCUAAACAAGCCAAAUUGGAAUAAACGCUCCAUGACACUACUCACCACCUUGUGUUUUCAUAGGGGCGGCUGCCUAACAGUUUACACUGAACUAUUUAACACUAGCCUAUUUGCUCUGACAGCUCUUUUAUUACAGAUGACCACCCCAGGCCUUGGGAGGUUCAUUUUGUCCAAUAUUGGUUUCAUUUGGGUAUGAUCAUUGUGUUCGGAGUUGUUUACUGAGCAGACUGCUGCUAACCUCCUCCUAUCGUUGAUUGCCUACCAGAAGAAGCAGUCCAGCUCAGUUUCCUGGUUCCAAGAAAGAGAAUUCAGCAAGAGGAGGGUCAAAUUACCCCAAACUCCAGAUCAUCUCUAUCAACAAUGUCAUAUGUGUCCAGGAAAGAGAAGCUUUAUUGUUUGUCUUGCUCUGUUUUCUGAAGCUAAGAAGACAAUUGCUUCCUCGCAAACAUGGACAGAUUAAAUACACUACAUUCUGUCCUUUUCACCAUCUGCUUCUUGCUUAUUUUAUUUUAAGCUGCAUGACUAAACUUUAUUAUCUGACGGACGGGUGAAGGUGGGCCCUGCUGCUGCUGUGCUCUACUCCUUGAGGCUUGGAAUGAAUGCAAAGUUGCAGGGCUGAUCUGCAAAGGGAGAACAAUAUCCAAGUAAUGUUUUGGAAAACGGAAACUCUAUAUUCCUGACUUCCCUUCCUAGGGAGUGGGACCCAGGGACAGCUGCAAGGAUCUGCAGGCACUUUCUAGGCUCCCCUUGGAUUGUUUACUUUCCUCCAGAAGCCAGAAAAGGAAAAGAAAAUAAAGCAUUGUAAUAUAAACAAAGGCAGUCUGUACUAAGACAAGCACAGGCCAUGGCAGCUGUGCAGAUGAAGGCUGACUGCAAGCUAACACAAGAAGACUAUGAUUUGGAAGUUGCAAUGGAGAUAUUAGAAGAAACACCUAGAUACUUCACUAGAAGUGCUGCAAAAAUGACAGCAUAAAUUGUGCAAUUUCACAACCCUCCAACUCCCCCCCACCGCAAAAAAAAACUACAAGCAUUUAACGGCCUUAUGAGUAUGUAUGUGACAUGUGUAUUUUAUUAGAGGCAGUUCUCAGUUUCCCUCAUCCAAGCUGUUAAGAUCGUAUAAGACUAAGUCAAAGCUGAUCCUCCUUCUAAACCCGCCUCUCCCCACAGCCCAAAAUGUGCACUCUGUGAACAUAAUUGCCCAAGGAAAACGGAAGCUUGAGCUCUCCGAGCAUCCGUAUUCAUGGGAGCAGCACUUUUGUACUUUGCAAGACCAGAAUGGGCUCCCCACCUGUAUUGGUGACCCAUUUAACCGGACUGAUUUUACUGCUUUGUCAAACUUAUUGGGCAUGAAAAUAAAGUCUGCUCUAUAGAAGUAAACAAAGAGCCUGGAAACAGUUUGAAGCCUGCCUGCUAAUGAAGGCCCUUGGUCACUUCCUCCUUGAAAAUCAAGGCUUCCUGCAAAAAGAAUAAACUGCCCUCCAUGACAGAGAAUCAAGUAACCAGGUAUUUACAUUUAGACAAGAUUCAGUCUCGUCUGGCAGCCUAGAAAAACGCACAGCUGUCAAGAAUCAAAUAAAGGCUUUCAAAAAAUUUUUCUCAAGAACCAAGCAUACCAUUUGAAGAGCAAAGUAGUGAGCAAUUUCCACUAACGUCACAGGAAUUUUGAAAACUAAUUCUGUUUGAAAGACACAACCUGCCCAUACCCAUCAAAAAGUCUAUGGUUCUAGCCUUUAUAAAAUUAUUAUAAAUUUUAACAUACUAGAUUUGUCACUCCCGUAUAUAUAUAUAUAUAUAUUUUGCUUUAAUGAAACAAAAGAUCUAGUGUACUGACUUUUCACUAUAAAAGAAAUGUUUAACAUUUGGUAAAAAAGUUUUUUUUUCCUUCCUACAUAUAUCUAGGUAUAUAUUAAGAAGUUUGAUGAGGAUCUCAGAAUUAGUUGCUAUCUAAUUUCAAAAUCUUGCUAUAAAAGAUCUUUAUCUCUUUCAUACAUGGGAGUUCAUUCAUUUUUAUCCAUUUUAAUAUACUAGAGGUUUCACUUGUGGUGUGCCCUAUGAUUGAGGAGUUUUGAGAAAUAUCUGGAAGAUCAUGGGGACAGGGUGUAUGGAAUCAUGAGGUUGCCUGGAUGACACUGGGAGCUGGAAAUGGGUGGGUAGCAAUUCUGAGUGCAGCAAGACUGCCUCAGCCUUCUUGGCUGACUAGGUCCUGAGGAAAGGCAUAUGCCAAAAAGCAGAGUAAAAUUAAUAAAUAAGUGGAUAGAUAAAUGCACCCAUCCAUCCGUAGAUGCAGUGUUCAAUCAUUCAGUUAGUAUUUAUUGAGUUCCUGGCACUGAUAAUACAAGUGUUAGAUACAUCGAAGGACCCAGAAAUCCCUGCCCACCUGGAACUUGUAAUCCGGUGGGAGUGGGGAGUGGUAGGGAUAGAAUAUAUAUAAGCUAAAUAUGCACGUGUGUGUGGGUGUGCACACGCGCGCUAAAGAAAAACAAAAAAGUCAGGGGAGGGAAUGUGAGACUAAGGCGGUGUGUUGACAUUGUAGAUAGGCUGGCCAAGCAGGUCUCCCUGACAAAAUGGCACUUGAGUUCAAUGCUGGAAGAAAUGAGGAAGAUCUAAGGGAAGAGCUUUCCAUGCAGAAGGAUUCCCAAAUGCAAAGGCCUGAGUCAGAUCACGUCUGGUGUACUGAAGCUGCAGCAGGGUGAGUAGGUGUAAUGUAGAAGAAGAUGAAGUCAGCGUGAAAUGGUGAGGCAGGCCAAUCAGCACCUGGCAGACCAAUGUGGCCCCAUCUACUUUUACUUGAUGAGAAGCCACUGGAGGAUUUGAGAACAGGACUGACAUGAUCUCACUCAUGCUUUAAUAGGAUCAGCUGUCAAUGUGGUGGAAAUAACCGCAGGAAGGCAGAGAGCAGCAGAGAGGCUUAUGAAGAGGUUCCUGCUGUAUCCAGGUGUGAAGUCCUGGUAGGAUAGACAGCGGGACAGCACGAGGUUUAAGUAAGAGGAGUACCUAGAGCAGAAGUUUAAUUUCAGGAGGCACUCGGCAUCAGGGCUGUUUAUGUGUAGUGUCAGCAGGGUCUUCACUUGCAUGACUGAGAGUGAAACUUUGUGGCCUACGCACCUCUUGCGCCUCACCUGGGUCUUGGACCUGUUGGACAGGGUAAGGACAGUUGAAUUCAGAAGGUGGCGCUGACAGGAUGUGCUGAUGGUGUGAAGUGCGGAUGAAAAAGAAGAGUCCAAGAUGACCCCAUGUGUUUUAAACUUGUAGAAAGAGAUUUUCUGUAGAAAGGCCAUUUUCUGACAGGAGUAACCUGUUAGGCGAACAGGUUUGAAGGAAGAAUACCAGAGCUCAGUUUUGGUCAUGUAACAUUUUAGAUAUUUAUUAAACAUCUAUGUGAAGAUACAUGAGUCUGGAGUUCCAGUGCAGGGUAUAAGGGUAAGCAAAAAUGACAGUUACCUGGCCUAGUGGAAUAUAUUAAUACAAUCCAGUGUGGGUAUGGACAAAUAGGGCAAUACACUACAACAUGUUACUUGCCAUGAAAUGAUACUCUGAGACUGCUAUAAAAAUUCAUAGAGAAAUAUCCCGCCUGGACUUGAGGGCCUGGCAAAUAGCGGCCACUUAAUAAAUACCAGUUGAGGGCCAGGCACAGUGGCUGAUACCUGUGAUCCCAGCAGUUUGGGAGGCCGAGGCUAGAGGAUCACUUGAGCUCAGGAGUUUGGGACUAGCCUGGGAAACAUAGGGAGACCCUGUCUCUACAAAAAAUAAAAAAGCAUGAUGGCAUGCAUCUGGGGUCCCAGAGGCUGCAGUGAGCCAAGAUCGCACCACCACACUCCAGCCUGGGCAACAGAGCGAGACCCUGUGUCAAAAAAUAGGUAAGUAAAUAAAUAAAUAAAUACUGGUUGAAUAUAUGGACACUACUUAUUUAUUUAUUAUCUGUUUAUUUACUGAUUUUACUCUGUUUUAUCAUUGAUUUAUUUUCCCAAGACCCAGGCAAGAGGCCAAAAAAACUGAGGCAGAGAAAAAUCCAGAAGAAGAGACAUUUAUGUUGACACUUUAAGGAAGGACAAGAUGAUAUGGUUUGUCUGUGCCCCAUCCAAAUCUCACCUUAAAUUGUAAUAAUCCCCACGUGUCAAGGGCAGGGCCAGGUGAAGAUAAAUGAAUCAUGGGGGCGGUUUCGCCCAUACUGUUCUCCUCCUGGUAGUGAAUAAGUCUCAUGAGAUCUGAUGGGUUUAUAAAGCAGAGUUCCCCUGAACAUGCUCUCUUGCCUGCCACCAUGUAAGAUGUCCCUUUGCUCUUCCUUUGUCUUCUGCCAUGAUUGUGAGGCUUCCUCAGCCAUGUGGAACUGUGAGUCUAUUAAACCUCUUUCCUUUAUAAAUUACUCAGUCUUGGGUAUGUCUUCAUUAACAGCAUGAGAACAGACUAAUACAUAAGAGCUAGCAAUGUAUUAGUGGGUUUGAAGGAGAUGGUAUAGAAAAGUGGGUUUGGAGGAGAUGGUACAGAAAAAAUUUUUAGAGGCAAAAGAUAAUAUGUGAGAAGGCCCAGGGAGAUUGUUGCCAGUAUUAUCAGAACCAUUGGCAAAUGAUGCAGACUCAAAAUCAGACAUCCUUUUCUUCCCAUGGAAGAGUAUUGUAACAUCAGCACUUGGGCAUUGGCAGCUUUUGUGAGGAUAGCACAACAGUAGUGCUCUGGUGUGUCCCUGGCAUAGCUCUGGCCCGGAUAUCAGCAGUGGGAAAAAACAUGGCUACAAGAGCCAAGGGGGACUAGAAUGGUAGAUGCCACAUGGUAGGGAGUAGAGAACCCCCUUGUUCUUGCAAGAUUCUAGAAUUUGUGGGGAGAAAUUGAGGGAUCUGAAGCUGGAGCUUUUCAAGAGCAAGUUUAACAGCAAAACCAGAAAAAGAAAUAGAAAACGGAAUUGUAGAAACAUAAGUUAUAGAUAAAAAAUAAAUUGAUAGUACUUGUGUAUUUUUUCAAAAAGCUUUCUUUCGAAUUGAUUGUUUUCUUUACUCCAAACAGGAACAUUUUAAGUUAGAGAGGGCAAGUGAAUGAAGAGGGUCACAGAGUUAAUGAAUUACUGAAUACUAUAGGGACAAUUAAUGGCAAAUGGGGGGAUUUGAACACAGGACCCUUACUACACAGUUUAUGGCUUCAUUUUGUUUGGUUUUUGAGAUGAGGUGUCACUCUGUCACCCAGCCUGGAGUGCAGUGGCACAAUCAUGGUUCACUGCAGCCUCAACUUCCCAGGCUCAAGCCAUCUUCCCACCUCAGCCUCCGGAGUAGCACAUGGCCACCACACCGAUUUUUUUUUCUUUUUUUUUUUUUUUUUGUAGAGACAGAGUCUCAGUAUGUUGCCUAGGCUGGGCUCAAACAAUCCUCACACCUCAGCCUCCCAAAGUGCUAGGAUUACAGACAUGAGCCACUGCGCCUAGCCCAGCUUAUGUUCUUUUAGACCAAUCCUUGAAAUACAUAAAGGCAGAUAGGAGAAGAGAGGGGAAGAGGAGAAAAGAGCAAUGGAUACAACUUGUUUGAAGAAAGGACAGUUUGCAUCUCCCAGAACAGUAAUAUAACAAAGCCAUAUGUAGACAUGCAUUUUGAUAAUAAAUUUAUUUUCAUGCAGUCCAAAAUAAACUUCAGUAUAUUU
rnacentral:lncRNA from 1 species